rnacentral:rRNA from 2 species
UGGGGAAUCUUGCGCAAUGGGCGAAAGCCUGACGCAGCCAUGCCGCGUGAAUGAUGAAGGUCUUAGGAUUGUAAAAUUCUUUCACCGGGGACGAUAAUGACGGUACCCGGAGAAGAAGCCCCGGCUAACUUCGUGCCAGCAGCCGCGGUAAUACGAAGGGGGCUAGCGUUGCUCGGAAUUACUGGGCGUAAAGGGAGCGUAGGCGGAUAGUUUAGUCAGAGGUGAAAGCCCAGGGCUCAACCUUGGAAUUGCCUUUGAUACUGGCUAUCUUGAGUUUGGGAGAGGUGAGUGGAACUCCGAGUGUAGAGGUGAAAUUCGUAGAUAUUCGGAAGAACACCAGUGGCGAAGGCGACUCACUGGCCCAAUACUGACGCUGAGGCUCGAAAGCGUGGGGAGCAAACAGG